rnacentral:rRNA from 1 species
AUGAACGCUGGCGGCGUGCCUCAUACAUGCAAGUCGAGCGAACAGACGAGGAGCUUGCUCCUCUGACGUUAGCGGCGGACGGGUGAGUAACACGUGGAUAACCUACCUAUAAGACUGGGAUAACUUCGGGAAACCGGAGCUAAUACCGGAUAAUAUAUUGAACCGCAUGGUUCAAUAGUGAAAGACGGUUUUGCUGUCACUUAUAGAUGGAUCCGCGCCGCAUUAGCUAGUUGGUAAGGUAACGGCUUACCAAGGCGACGAUGCGUAGCCGACCUGAGAGGGUGGUCGGCCACACUGGAACUGAGACACGGUCCAGACUCCUACGGGAGGCAGCAGUAGGGAAUCUUCCGCAAUGGGCGAAAGCCUGACGGAGCAACGCCGCGUGAGUGAUGAAGGUCUUCGGAUCGUAAAACUCUGUUAUUAGGGAAGAACAAAUGUGUAAGUAACUAUGCACGUCUUGACGGUACCUAAUCAGAAAGCCACGGCUAACUACGUG